AUACGAACCGUACGAACGUUAUUCGGAAUCACUGGGCUUAAAGAGUGCGUAGGCGGCUUGGAAAGUUGGGUGUGAAAUCCCUCGGCUCAACCGAGGAAUUGCGCUCAAUACUUCCAGGCUUGAGGGAGAUAGAGGUAAGCGGAACUAAUGGUGGAGCGGUGAAAUGAGUUGAUAUCAUUAGGAACACCUGAGGCGAAAGCAGCUUACUGGGUCUCUUCUGACGCUGAGGCACGAAAGCUAGGGGAGCGAACGGGAUUAGAAACCCCGGUAGUCC
rnacentral:rRNA from 1 species